UACGGGGGGGAGCAAGCGUUGUUCGGAUUUACUGGGCGUAAAGGGCGCGUAGGCGGUCAGCACAAGUCAGUUGUGAAAUCUCCGAGCUUAACUCGGAAAGGUCAAUUGAUACUGUGCGACUAGAGUGCGGAAGGGGCAACUGGAAUUCUUGGUGUAGCGGUGAAAUGCGUAGAUAUCAAGAGGAACACCUGCGGCGAAGGCGGGUUGCUGGGCCGACACUGACGCUGAGGCGCGAAAGCUAGGGGAGCGAACGGG
rnacentral:rRNA from 1 species